UACAGAGGUCUCAAGCGUUGUUCGGAUUCAUUGGGCGUAAAGGGUGCGUAGGUGGCGCCGUAAGUCAGGUGUGAAAUUUCGGAGCUUAACUCCGAAACUGCAUUUGAUACUGCGGUGCUUGAGGACUGGAGAGGAGACUGGAAUUCACGGUGUAGCAGUGAAAUGCGUAGAGAUCGUGAGGAAGACCAGUGGCGAAGGCGGGUCUCUGGACAGUUCCUGACACUGAGGCACGAAGGCCAGGGGGAGCAAACGGG
rnacentral:rRNA from 1 species